rnacentral:piRNA from 1 species
CACAAUUCAACCUGUGCCUGGUGUUUGCAAG